rnacentral:tRNA from 1 species
GGGGACGUGGCUCAGUUGGGAGAGCGCCGCAUUCGCAUUGCGGAGGUCGUGGGUUCGAAUCCCAUCGUCUCCACCA